rnacentral:rRNA from 1 species
CACGUAGGCACCAAGCGUUGUCCGGAUUUAUUGGGCGUAAAGAGCUCGUAGGCGGUUCAGUAAGUCGGGUGUGAAAACUCUGGGCUUAAACCCCAGAGCCCGCCACUCGAUACUGCUGUGACUUGAGUUCGGUAGGGGAGCAGGGAAUUCCUAGUGUAGCGGUGAAAUGCGCAGAUAUUAGGAGGAACACCGGUGGCGAAGGCGCUGCUCUGGGCCGAUACUGACGUGAGGAAGCGAAAGCGUGGGUG